rnacentral:miRNA from 14 species
UAUAUAAUAUGUAUGUAUGUAUGUAUACACACACAUAUAUAUUACAAUGCAUAUAUGUGUAUUAUAUAUGAUAGUAUAUGUGUGUGCAUG